rnacentral:lncRNA from 13 species
UCUCUGUCAUCUCAUAGGGACAAGAUCUAAACUUCUUAUAUAAUUCAAACAUUUUCAGAAAAAAAAAUUUCUGGUUUCUUGUACAAAUUGUAAGCACCGUAAAGAAAUCAGAUAUCCAUUUUCUGCCUUCUCCAGCCUGCCUGCAAGUAGGUUUUGUCUAAACAAAAUAGCCUUGUAUUCAUCUGUCACAAACAUUUUUGUAUUACUUAGAUGUCUACUUGAGUAAUUUCAUUUGCCUCCUUCAGUGGCUUAAUUAUGUUUAUAGAUGCUUGCCCACCUUUUUGUUUCUUAAGGCAACCUUUAUGCAAUUUUUUUUUUUAAACACAAAGUUUGAGUAUAAAAAGUAUUUCAAUCUUCUUGUGAUUGCAUUUCUUACAGAAUGUUGGAAUUUUUGGACUGUGCAUCUGUUUAGGCACGUGGAGAAAGACAAGACUGGGAUCAUCAGUGGUUGGCAGUUUUCCUCAGCUUUGCAAGAGAGAGAGAGAUUUGGUUGGAAUGAAACCUUGCUCUACGUACAACCUGCUUGAGAUGCAGCAUUGAAAGGUAUAAUCUCAUUUUCUGUCUUGAAAUCAGAGAUGAAAACCACAAACAGGUAGAAAUCUUGGUGCCAAACCACCUGUUGAGUCACAGCCGAAAAGCCUUUGGCAAUACUUUACUCACUGUGUCCAAUUGGAAGACUUACAUGGCUGAUUCCCACAGUAUCUGUCUGUACCUGCGAGUUUGGUAAAGAGGUUAAUUCAUUUGAGAAGGUUGGGAUUGAAAUUUAGUUAGAGUUAGCAUGGCAAAGAAUCUUCUGCUAUUAGUCUUUCUUUUUGCCUAGAGUAGCAUUCAUCACUCGUAUAACUCGGUUCAGCAUUGAAAAUACCAAUCCUGAAGUCACAUGCUGUGUAUUAGAGAGCAAAAUGAGAUUUGUUGAAACAGCCUUGUGUGGAGUCCAGAUCUGCAAUAGCAUGAUAUCUUAGAGGUCAGAAUUGAGGUGACUGGAUGAAACUGUGAAGACAAAAGUUGUGAAAUAUCCUGCCAGCAGCAUCAGUACUUCAUCUUUUGAGGGUAUUACAAUUCAGAAAAUCACUUGAAAUCAAGUUAAAAUGCUGUCCUUGGACUGCUAUACAUACGCUCCCUGUGACAUACGCCUUACAGAAACAGCCACUGUGUGUUAAUAUGGCAUUAGAAUUUUGGACUCCACCCACAAAAAUU